GGGCACAUGGUGUAGUUGGUUAUCACGCUCGCUUAGCAUCUUCAAGUGUCUGCGAGAGGUGUUGGGUUCAAUUCCCAAUGUGUCCA
rfam:Hebeloma cylindrosporum h7 unplaced genomic scaffold scaffold_11, whole genome shotgun sequence.